rnacentral:rRNA from 1 species
AACGCUAGCUACAGGCUUAACACAUGCAAGUCGAGGGGCAGCGGGAUUGAAGCUUGCUUCAAUCGCCGGCGACCGGCGCACGGGUGAGUAACGCGUAUCCAACCUUCCGUACACUCAGGGAUAGCCUUUCGAAAGAAAGAUUAAUACCUGAUGGUAUCUUAAGCACACAUGUAAUUAAGAUUAAAGAUUUAUCGGUGUACGAUGGGGAUGCGUUCCAUUAGGUAGUAGGCGGGGUAACGGCCCACCAAGGCUACGAUGGAUAGGGGUUCUGAGAGGAAGGUCCCCCACAUUGGAACUGAGACACGGUCCAAACUCCUACGGGAGGCAGCAGUGAGGAAUAUUGGUCAAUGGACGAGAGUCUGAACCAGCCAAGUAGCGUGAAGGAUGACGGCCCUACGGGUUGUAAACUUCUUUUAUGCGGGAUUAACGUGAGGUACGUGUACCUUCUUGCAGGUACCGCAUGAAUAAGCAUCGGCUAACUCCGUGCCAGCAGCCGCGGUAAUACGGAGGAUGCGAGCGUUAUCCGGAUUUAUUGGGUUUAAAGGGAGCGCAGACGGGUCGUUAAGUCAGCUGUGAAAGUUUGGGGCUCAACCUUAAAAUUGCAGUUGAUACUGGCGUCCUUGAGUGCGGUUGAGGUGUGCGGAAUUCGUGGUGUAGCGGUGAAAUGCUUAGAUAUCACGAAGAACUCCGAUUG